ACACUCCUACGGGAGGCAGCAGUGGGGAAUAUUGGACAAUGGGCGCAAGCCUGAUCCAGCCAUGCCGCGUGAGUGAUGAAGGCCCUAGGGUUGUAAAGCUCUUUCACCGGAGAAGAUAAUGACGGUAUCCGGAGAAGAAGCCCCGGCUAACUUCGUGCCAGCAGCCGCGGUAAUACGAAGGGGGCUAGCGUUGUUCGGAAUUACUGGGCGUAAAGCGCACGUAGGCGGAUCGAUCAGUCAGGGGUGAAAUCCCAGGGCUCAACCCUGGAACUGCCUUUGAUACUGUCGAUCUGGAGUAUGGAAGAGGUGAGUGGAAUUCCGAGUGUAGAGGUGAAAUUCGUAGAUAUUCGGAGGAACACCAGUGGCGAAGGCGGCUCACUGGUCCAUUACUGACGCUGAGGUGCGAAAGCGUGGGGAGCAAACAGGAUUAGAAACCCCAGUAGUCCCA
rnacentral:rRNA from 1 species